GUGACUCAUCACAUGUAAUAUAGACACACCCCUGUGCACAGUGACUGACUGAAGCUGCCGGGAGUAAUAUGAGAAGUGAAAGCAGUACAUACUACAAUGUGACAUUUGUGUGCUGUGUGGAAGACAGUAUAGUAACACAUCCACCUGAUGCAUCUCUCAUUUGUGUCUGCCAAUCCUUUACAACGUCGCAGACGUGAUGCAAUGACGCUGCCAGUGCCGGUCAGCGGAGACUGGAGUAGUCAAAGAGCCGCACAGCACCACUUCUAGACGUCAAUUAAAACCACUAACAGAUGCCCUCCGCAAAAACAACAUCAAAUACAGAUGGGGAUUUCCCUUCAGCAUCACAGCAACUAAUGAUGGCCGGUCUGCAACGAUCAGGACCCCUGAGGAUGUAGCCCCCUUCUGCUCCACCCUAUCUAUUGACCCAGUACAGGUCCCCGAAUGGCAAUCCGUAGGCUCGAGGAUUCGCCCCCCCCAACCCCCCCAGGCUGAUAUACCUUUCCAAACUGUGGGAUCCCCCUCAGCAGCACAGAAACGGAAUCGCUCCCUUCCGUCCCCGUCAUCUUCAUCAUCCUACUCGGCUACGAAGACCUAAUCACCCCACCUUUGGAGUGGCAUCUUUUUCUCACUACCCACGUUUGAUUGGAAUAAAGAGGACUGCUUCAAUAUGUCGAGUCACUGCGGGAGGGACCACGGCUCCUACAGAAAGACUCCCUCCCUUGAGGCACCCUGAGGUUGAGGGACACGAUGCCUCUCGGAUCACCGUCUCUAUGUUUGAUAGUCACAUCAUGCCCGAGGGACCUGGUCAUCUCAGUUCCCCGAAUAGAGGGAGACAGAAGCAACUUUGUCACGGUCUCGACUGCAUUACCAUAGUUCGGUUACAGUAUUGCCCUUAUUGUUGCGACAUGCAAUGUUCAUAUUAUCGUGGUCGCUAAUUAUGUUACACUGACACAGUUCGUGUUGGAGGGCCGAUCCGUCCCUCCCUUGUUACCCCACUUACACCGCAAUGUUUGGUCCUGGUACGAUCGACGGGAACACUGUCCCCGUCGUUCGUUUCACCAGGAGCGGUGUUAUGUCUUCAUUUGUUCAAAUGUUCUAUAUUGUUUUGCUUUUCUGUUCUAUUGCUCUUCCUCUGUCCGCUACUUUCUCCCCUUCUCUUCUUCAGGUUCUCUCCUCCCUUCCAAAACUACCUAGGCACACCAACGCCUAAGCCCUACCCUAUGCCGAUGGGACCGGUGUCAGACCAGACUUACUAUUUCUUUUUGGAACAGGUAAAUGGCGUUACUAAAAGUACUUUCUAUUAAUGCCCGGGGACUCAACAUUCCUGAGAAGAGGUCAAGGGCCUUACGAGAAUUGAAAGCCGAAAAAGCAGACGUUGCCUUUGUGCAAGAAACCCACUUUAAAGAAGGGGUGGCCCCCUCUCUCGGGAAUCGAGACUUCCCUACAGGGUAUUUCUCCAAUAACGUGGAGGGUAAGACUCUGGGGGUAGCGAUCCUAUUUGCCAGACAUGUCGCCCUGGCAGACGUUGUUUGCCAUAAACUUGUCCCUGGCAGGGCUCUGCUUAUAAACUGCACUAUCGCCAAUAGAGCUUUUACCUUUCUUAAUGUUUAUGCCCCCAACAAGAUACAGCCGGGCUUUUUGGAAAGAGUUCUCACACAAGCCCAACCACACAUUAAUGGGGUUCUGCUCUUCGGCGGGGAUUUAAACUGGUCAUUGGAACCCAGACUAGACUCCUCCAACCCCUCCCCUAGGUAUUCGGACAAAUUGCACCGUAGAGUUAGGAGGAUACUACAUAACUUUCAACUCAUAGAUGUCUGGAGGAUACAACACCCCUCCACUCGAGAUUUUACCUUUUAUUCACACCCUCACAAUACUUACACUAGGAUUGACUACUUAUUUAUCCCGCAUAGAUUUUUGCACCUGGCUGAGGCAUCUGCUGUGGGCAACAUGUCCUGGACAGACCAUGCUCCUGUCUCUUUGGGGAUACGUCUGUCCCCUGCUCGCCCGAAUUCCUACACGUGGAGACUAAACGAGAUGAUCAUCCAGGAUCCCGGUUGCCAGCAGCAGAUCAGAGAGGCUAUAGCCAACUAUAUCGAAGUUAACGACACAGAGGGAAUCUCCAAAGUGGUAGUUUGGGAGGCCCAUAAAUGUGUAAUAAGGGGAAAACUUAUUCAACUGGGCGCCCAUAGGAAAAGACAACAUAUGGCGGCACGGGAGGCCUUGUUACAAAAAAUUCAAGCCUUAGAACUUCUCCAUAAAUCUAACAUGUCUGAUGACAACCUCCAAUCAUUACUAAAGGCGCGGAAGGAAUUGGACUCGCUUAUGUCCCACAGAUUGAAGUUAGAAGCUAGGAAAUGCCGUAGUCGUUAUUUUCUAUGGGGGAACAAGCCUGGGAAGCUGCUGGCGCGGGCUCUCCAGGCCCAGCGCGCGGCAUCGUUUAUACCUAAAGUAAAAUCGCAUACGGGAACAACACAACACACCACGACUGAGAUAGCAGCAGCCUUCCGACACUAUUACACCCAGUUAUACAAUCUAAGAGGCCCCACGGAGGCAGAAUCUGACCUCUCCCGAAAGGCCUCUAUUGCAGAGUUUUUAUGUGAAAUAAAUUUCCCCACUCUUACACCUGAAGAAGUUGAGUCACUUGAGAACCCCUACACUCUGGCAGAGCUUGAAGAGGCUGUCAAAGCCACCCCGAAUGGCAGGAGUCCGGGCCCUGACGGCUUCUCUUUAGCAUAUUAUAAGACAUUUGGGGAUGUUUUGCUACCUCUGAUGCUUAGAGCCUUUAAUCAGGUUUCAGACCAGUCCCUCUUCUCCCCCCAGUCUAUGUUAGCACAUAUCACAGUGAUUCAUAAGGAGGGCAAAGACCCGUCACAAUGUUCCAGCUAUAGACCCAUUUCCCUGCUAAAUGUGGACUUGAAGCUUUUCGCCAAAUUAAUGGCGAAUCGCUUAAAACUCUUACUCCCAAAACUAAUACACUCGGACCAGGUGGGUUUCGUUCCGGGCCGCGAGGCCAGGGACAACACCACGAAGGUGCUGGAUUUAAUUUAUUACGCAUCAACUUGUAAAUCCCCCUCCAUCCUCCUCUCAACAGAUGCAGAAAAAGCGUUUGACAGAGUGGACUGGGAUUUCCUGUUGGGGGUGUUGGAGCACAUGGGCAUGGGCAGGGUAGGCCUCCAGAGAAUUAGGGCCCUGUACUCCGGCCCCGCUGCUCGCGUUCGUAUCAAUGGUGAAUUAUCAGACCCGUUCCAGAUACGCAAUGGCACUCGCCAGGGGUGUCCUCUGUCACCACUUAUUUUUGUGCUUUGCAUGGAGGCCCUGGCGAGGGCCAUCCGCCAGAAUGUUGACAUCACAGGGCUACAGGUGGGGACGAAGGAGUACAAGCUUGCCCUGUUCGCAGAUGACCUUCUUGCAGUGAUUUCUAAUCCUUUGACCUCUAUACCCAACCUUCUUAAAGAGUUCAAGCGUUUUGGUACUCUCUCCAAUUUUAAAAUUAAUUUGUCAAAAUCUACAGCAAUGAAUUUAACACUAGACCAGACCAGCCUCCAAGUACUACAAUCUAUCUCGCCCUUUGCAUGGCACCCAACACAAUUAAAAUAUCUAGGAGUAAUCCUACACAGGGAUCUUUCCCAGAUUUAUCAAUUAAAUUUCCCCCCAUUACUAUCAAAACUUCAAUCUGACCUCUCCAAAUGGGGUGGGAAAAAAAUCUCAUGGAUAGGGAGAAUAGCGGUUAUCAAAAUGAAUAUUUUGCCCAGAAUUCUUUAUCUACUACAAACUCUGCCGGUCACUAUCCCUCGACCAUGGUUUCUCUUACUACAACGAAAGAUCAGAGACUACAUUUGGGCGGGACGUAAACCCCGAUUUAAGCAUGAGAUCCUCUUUAGACGAAAACAUCAAGGAGGCCUUCAACUCCCCCACUUUCUAUCCUACUACCAUGCAGUACUCCUUACGAGGGUCAUGGAGUGGAGUAGAGAACUCCACAGGAAACAAUGGGUAGACAUUGAACUGGCCUCCCUUCCCUCUCUAAACCAGAACUCCCCCUGGCUUUCUAAGGUCCCCCAGGUAUUGCACCCACUAGCUGGCCCCAUCUUUUCGUGCUGGCGCCUUUUACGCUCCCUCCCGCAUCUUUCAGCACACCCCUCCCCACUCUCACCGUUGUUUGGGAAUCCAGAGUUCCCCCCAGGGUGUCACUCCCUGUCGUUUUAUUUGUGGCAGGAAAGGGGCAUCCUGAGAACUAACCAACUGCUGGACUCAUCUGGUAUAAUACCUUUUCCCGAACUGCAAAAUAAAUGGAAUUUACCCAAUAAGGAAAUCUGGAGAUAUCUCCAAAUUAAACAUUAUCUACAGACUUUUUGCUCUUCUGGAAAGGGUAUACGAGCACUGACUCUAUUUGAACAGAUGUGCCUCUCCCACACAUACCCUAGACACACUCUCUCCACGUUCUACAAAUGGAUCUUGAACCAUAGAUUUUCUUCCCAACCAAAAUUUGCCAGGGACUGGGAGCUAGACUUGGGGGGUUUGGUGACCACAGAUGAUUGGGAGGGUAUUUAUAAAAAUACCUUCUCAUUAACUACAAAUGUGCUAGUCUUAGAAACUCACUACAAGGUACUUACAAGGUGGUAUAGAUGCCCAAAUAUCCUUGCAAAAAUUUAUCCUGGAGUACCCAACACGUGCUGGAGAUGCGGGACCGCAUUAGGUACCCCACUACACAUAUGGUGGGAAUGCUCGCUUUUGCAACCAUUUUGGCACAGGGUGGUGGAGACAGCUAGCAUUAUCCUUGGGGAAGACUUACCCUUUUGCCCGGGUUUUUGGUUAUUAAAUCACACGCGUAUACCUAGAUAUCAUCUUAAGAAAUCACUACUUCGCCAUAUUUUGAGCGCCUCUAAGGCAGUGAUCCCAGUCCACUGGAAAUCAACAGUGCCCCCCACUAUGAGUGAAUGGACGGCCCGCUUAGAUCACUAUAUGGCAAUGGAAGACCUUAUACUAUCUUUGGAAAUGAGAAACACUUCCUUCAUAGCUACUUGGAGCCCAUGGCUGGAAUACAAAACCACAACACACCACAAAUCCUCUCUUUAAGAGAAACCCAUCCGCCAUGCCUCCAGUAGUUAUAUGAUAUAAAUCACGGUUAAAGCUCCUUAGGUUAGGAGGAGAACCCCCCCCCCCCCCUUCCCAAACCUUGUCUCUCUACGCUAUCCUUCCUUUUACUCCUCUACAUUGAGAGUAACACUACUACUAAUCCCUGUCUUUUUCUCCCUACCUCCCGCAACCCUUCUUCCCUCUCCUACUCCUACUCUUUCUCUUUUGCUUCAAGAAGUUGUAAUCCACAAUAUGUAUUAGACCAUACUCCUUUAUGCCUUGUUUAUAUUUCUUUCUCUGGAGACGAGACGCAUAUGUGGAGGAGAGAUAUCCCUCUUCACGAGUCUUUCUGUUUUACGUGGUACUGAAUUUCACCAGAGGAUGUUUCUCUGAUGGUACUAGAUGAUAUAGAAAUGUUUUUGCAACUUCUUGUUUUUUGCUCAUUUCAAAACUUCAAUAAAAACUAUUUGCAAAAAAAAAAAAUAACAGAGAAUUUAUAGCGACAGUUAUAACAAGAUCCCAUUAAAAUAUUGAAUUUAUUAGUGGUUUAAUCUCUGGUGAUCAUAAAUACUCUGUUAUUACCUGAAUCAUUAUGCUAAAAUAAUCCCUUUUUCUGCAUUUGCUUGGUUUCCUCUCAGCAAUGCCCAUAAUUGCUUUCCACAGUCAUGCCACAAAACAGAAAAACUGCAUCAGUCCACAAAAAGCAAUAUAAAAUUUACUGGGAAUACUAUGAAAUAGGAAACUUAUUCCCAAGCAGCAUACUUCAAACGUGCAAUUAAUUCUACUUAGUUUACUGUUUAUUAGAUAUAUUUCCUUCCUUGCUGAAUAUUAUUAUUAUUAUUAUUAUUAUUAUAGUAUUUAUUAUAAACGACUGUGCAUGUGUUUAUGAUCAAUCGGAUCAUCAAAGUGCUGUGUUGCUAAGAUUCAUCAUCGUCAUCAUCAUCAUCAUUAGCUGUCUCCUGAUGCUUUUUAGUUUAAUGAAUUAAAAAGCAUUGCAUC